rnacentral:rRNA from 1 species
AACGAACGCUGGCGGCAGGCCUAACACAUGCAAGUCGAACGCCGUAGCAAUACGGAGUGGCAGACGGGUGAGUAACGCGUGGGAACAUACCCUUCGGUUCGGAAUAACUCAGGGAAGCUUGAGCUAAUACCGGAUACGUCCGAGGUUUUAAUCGAUCUCGGAGAAAGAUUUAUCGCCGGAGGAUUGGCCCGCGUCUGAUUAGCUUGUUGGUGAGGUAAUGGCUCACCAAGGC